rnacentral:rRNA from 1 species
UACGUAGGGGGCGAGCGUUGUCCGGAAUCAUUGGGCGUAAAGCGCGUGUAGGCGGCUCGAUAAGUCCGGUGUGAAAUCUUGGGGCUCAACCCCAAGCCUGCACUGGAUACUGUCGAGCUUGAAUCCGGGAGAGGUGAGUGGAAUUCCGAGUGUAGAGGUGAAAUUCGUAGAUAUUCGGAAGAACACCAGUGGCGAAGGCGGCUCACUGGACCGGUAUUGACGCUGAGGUGCGAAAGCGUGGGGAGCAAACAGG